GUGUCAGCAGCCGCGGUAAUACGUAGGGUGCAGGCGUUAAUCGGAAUUACUGGGCGUAAAGCGUGCGCAGGCGGUCUCUUAAGACAGGUGUGAAAUCCCCGAGCUUAACUUGGGAACUGCGCUUGUAACUGAGAGGCUAGAGUGUGGCAGAGGGGGGUGGAAUUCCACGUGUAGCAGUGAAAUGCGUAGAGAUGUGGAGGAACACCGAUGGCGAAGGCAGCCCCCUGGGCUAACACUGACGCUCAUGCACGAAAGCGUGGGGAGCAAACAGGAUUAGAAACCCCUGUAGUCC
rnacentral:rRNA from 1 species